rnacentral:rRNA from 1 species
GACGAACGCUGGCGGCGUGCUUAACACAUGCAAGUCGAACGGUGAUGCUCCAGCUUGCUGGAGUGGAUCAGUGGCGAACGGGUGAGUAACACGUGAGCAACCUGCCCCAGACUCUGGAAUAAGCGCUGGAAACGGCGUCUAAUACUGGAUACGAAACUGGCCCGCAUGGGCAUGGUUUGGAAAGUUUUUCGGUUUGGGAUGGGCUCGCGGCGUAUCAGCUUGUUGGUGAGGUAAUGGCUCACCAAGGCGACGACGGGUAGCCGGCCUGAGAGGGCGACCGGCCACAGUGGAACUGAGACACGGUCAAGACUACUACGGGAAGCAGCAGUAGGGAAUCUUCCGGAAUGGGCGAAAGCGGGACGGAGCAACGCCGCGUGAGGGAUGAAGGUCGGCGGAUAGGAAAACUCUGGGAGGAGGGAAGAACAAAUGGGUAAGUAACAAUGCACGUCAGGACGGGACCUAAUCAGAAAGCCACGGCUAACUACGUG